rnacentral:lncRNA from 1 species
GAGUAUUACAUCGGAUAGAUCUCCAUGAAGAUCAUGAAGAACAUGGUAUUGAAGAUCAAAGAGAGAGAAGAAGCCAUCUAGCUACUAGCUAUGUACCAGUAGGUCUGUGGUGAACUACUCACACAUCAUCGGAGGCGCAAUGGAGUUGAUGUAGAUGCCCUCUGUGAUCAAUUCCCUCUCCAGUAGAUUACCGAAAAAGGCUCCCAGAUUGGAUCUCUCGGGAACAGAGGCUCACGACGGCAUAAAAGUAUUUUCGUGGCUCUUUUUGGUGAUACGGG